UGGUGGACGCGUAUUAUUGGGCUGUACAUUCCUGGGUUGAGCAUUCUCGGGCCGCGCAAUAUUGGUCCGGGGCGAUAAUACGAAGCCACUCUUUUCACAGGGCAAUAAUGUACGACCCCAUAAUUCGCGUCCAAUAAUUUGAGUCCCUUGGCUUUCAAUUAUUGGGCUGCGCAUUAUUGGUACAGGUCGAGAAAGCCCGACCCAAUAAUGUACGACCCAAUAAUAGGAAGCCAAAAACCAGAGAGAUUCUUUUUUUUAAGGGAGCUGUCAAAAUUAGUAGGGACGUUCUGACAUUAGCUCUUGACAAUUUAAAAAUAAUCGGUUUUUUCUAGUGCCAUCUUUCAGUGACAUUGACACUGACAGUAUUGUAUUGACACUUGUUGGUUUACAAAUACAAUAAAAUGAAUUCUAAUAAAAGAAACAGUAGACUCAGUAGAGGUACGAGGUACUGAAAAAAUAUUAAUUAAUGGAGAAGCCGAAGUUGGAGGAAAACAAGAAGAUUCGAGGAGAAUGGUGUGGCACUUAAUGCCGCCGGGACAGUAACCUAGCUGCAGCUCCAACUCUAGGGAAUUGGGCUGAAUGAACGCAACACGUGAUCGACAGCCCACCUGCUUCCUGCCGAGCGUCCCUACGCUACAUCUACAUGGAUUCGCUUAUUCUGCUCUACAAAACUUCUGAGCUGAUACAAGCAGCCAGAAUGAGUCUCUGCUGAGUCGCCGGCGCCGGACGUAGGGUUGCCAGAUCGAAAGGCGCUAUUAUCGGGAAAUAAUAUAAAUUUUUCGGGAUUUUGGGACUUAAGUCGGGAAAAAAAAUACAUUCAAAUUAAAGUAAUUGUGUUAAAAACAACGAUAUUUUACAUUUUUGGCACUACGUCAGCUCGCUCGCUCGACGACAGUUCGGAACUUGAAAUUGUUGUUUUAUAACGCGUAGCUGUUUUUCGGGACAAUUUACACUUUGUCGGGAAUCGGGAACACAUGCUAAAAAUCGGGAGAAUCCCGCCAAAUCCCGACCA